UACGGGGGGGGGCAAGCGUUUGUUCGGAAUUACUGGGCGUAAAGGGCUCGUAGGCGGCCAACUAAGUCAGACGUGAAAUCCCUCGGCUUAACCGGGGAACUGCAUCUGAUACUGGAUGGCUUGAGUUCGGGAGAGGGAUGCGGAAUUCCAGGUGUAGCGGUAGAAAUGCGUAGAUAUCUGGAGGAACACCGGUGGCGAAGGCGGCAUCCUGGACCGACACUGACGCUGAGGAGC
rnacentral:rRNA from 1 species